GACGUAAGGGGCAAGCGUUGUCCGGAAUUACUGGGCGUAAAGAGCGCGUAGGUGGCUUAGCAAGCGGCGGGUGAAAGCCCGCGGCUCAACUGCGGAAUUGCUUGCCGAACUGCUAAGCUAGAGCGCGGGAGAGGGCAGUGGAAUUCCUGGUGUAGCGGUGGAAUGCGUAGAUAUCGGGAGGAACACCAGUGGCGAAGGCGGCUUGCUGGGCUUUUACUGACGCUGAGGCUCGAAAGCGUGGGGAGCAAACAGGAUUAGAUACCCGGGUAGU
rnacentral:rRNA from 1 species